AUGUUCUCUGUAGCUCUGCUGCUGCUACUGGCUGCUGGAUCCUGUGUGAAGUGUGAAACACUGACACAACCAGCCUCUAUAACUGUACAGCCAGGUCAGCGUCUGACCGUCACCUGUCAGGUCUCUUAUUCUGUGAGCAGCUACUGGACACACUGGAUCAGACAGCCUGCAGGAAAAGGACUGGAGUGGAUUGGUUAUGGAAUGGUUGGAGGCACCCCAGCCUACAAAGAUUCACUAAAGGACAAGUUCAGUAUCAGUGCAGACUCUUCCAGUAACACAGUGAGUCUGAAUGGACAGAAUAUACAGCCUGAAGACACGGCUGUGUAUUACUGUGCGAGACAGUCCCACAGUAACACAAACCACCAGCAGACCUGA